CCUCCCGUAAGGGACAUCAGUACAGGUGGUGCAUGGCUGUCGUCAGCUCGUGUCGUGAGAUGUUGGGUUAAGUCCCGCAACGAGCGCAACCCUUAUUCUUAGUUGUUUCCCUUUGGGAUUACCCUCUAAGAAGACUGCCUCGGAUAACGGGGAGGAAGUGGGAUGACGUCAAGUCCGCAUGCUCCUUACGUCUAGGGCUACACACGUCCUACAAUGGGGUCGACAAUGGGAUGCAAUAUCGCAAGAUGGAGCCAAUCCCCAAACGGCCUCUCAGUUCGGAUUGUAGUCUGCAACUCGACUACAUGAGGUUGGAAUCGCUAGUAAUGGCAGAUCAGCAUGCUGCCGUGAAUACGUUCCCGGGUCUU
rnacentral:rRNA from 1 species